rnacentral:rRNA from 1 species
CCUACGGGAGGCAGCAGUGAGGAAUAUUGGUCAAUGGGCGCGAGCCUGAACCAGCCAAGUCGCGUGAAGGAUGACUGCCCUACGGGUUGUAAACUUCUUUUAUAAAGGAAUAAAGUGAGGCACGUGUGCCUUUUUGUAUGUACUUUAUGAAUAAGGAUCGGCUAACUCCGUGCCAGCAGCCGCGGUAAUACGGAGGAUCCGAGCGUUAUCCGGAUUUAUUGGGUGUAAAGGGAGCGUAGGUGGGUUGUUAAGUCAGGUGUGAAAGUUUGCGGCUCAACCGGAAAAUUGCAAUUGAUACUGGCAGUCUUGAGUACAGUUGAGGGAGGCGGAAUUCGUGGUGUAGCGGUGAAAUGCGUAGAGAUCACGAAGAACUCCGAUUGCGAAGGCAGCUUACUAGACUGCCACUGACGUUGAUGCUCGAAAGUGUGGGUAGCAAACAGGAUUAGAUACCCCUGUAGUC